UGGGGAAUAUUGGACAAUGGGCGAAAGCCUGAUCCAGCCAUGCCGCGUGUGUGAAGAAGGUCUUCGGAUUGUAAAGCACUUUAAGUUGGGAGGAAGGGCAGUAAGCGAAUACCUUUCUGUUUUGACGUUACCGACAGAAUAAGCACCGGCUAACUCUGUGCCAGCAGCCGCGGUAAUACAGAGGGUGCAAGCGUUAAUCGGAAUUACUGGGCGUAAAGCGCGCGUAGGUGGUUCGUUAAGUUGAAUGUGAAAGCCCCGGGCUCAACCUGGGAACUGCAUCCAAAACUGGCGAGCUAGAGUAGAGCAGAGGGUGGUGGAAUUUCCUGUGUAGCGGAGAAAUGCGUAGAUAUAGGAAGGAACACCAGUGGCGAAGGCGACCACCUGGGCUCAUACUGACACUGAGGUGCGAAAGCGUGGGGAGCAAACAGG
rnacentral:rRNA from 1 species